rnacentral:rRNA from 1 species
GAUGAACGCUAGCGGCAGGCUUAACACAUGCAAGUCGAGGGGCAGCGCGAUGUAGCAAUACAUUGGCGGCGACCGGCGCACGGGUGCGUAACACGUAUGGAACUUACCCUUUACUGGGAGAUAGCCCGGAGAAAUCCGGAUUAAUAUCCCAUAAUAAACGAAGUGGCAUCACUUUGUUUUGAAAGCUCCGGCGGUAAAGGAUGACCAUGCGCACGAUUAGCUAGUAGGUGAGGUAACGGCUCACCUAGGCUACGAUCGUUAGGGGGCCUGAGAGGGUUAUCCCCCACACUGGUACUGAGACACGGACCAGACUCCUACGGGAGGCAGCAGUGAGGAAUAUUGCGCAAUGGAGGCAACUCUGACGCAGCCAUGCCGCGUGCAGGAAGAAGGCGCUACGCGUUGUAAACUGCUUUUAACCGGGAAGAAACCCUCCGACGUGUCGGAGGUUGACGGUACCGGAGGAAUAAGCACCGGCCAACUUCGUGCCAGCAGCCGCGGUAAAGU